rnacentral:rRNA from 1 species
UACAGAGGUCUCAAGCGUUGUUCGGAUUCAUUGGGCGUAAAGGGUGCGUAGGUGGUGCCGUAAGUCGGGUGUGAAAUUUCGGAGCUUAACUCCGAAACUGCAUUCGAUACUGCGGUGCUUGAGGACUGGAGAGGAGACUGGAAUUCAUGGUGUAGCAGUGAAAUGCGUAGAGAUCAUGAGGAAGACCAGUGGCGAAGGCGGGUCUCUGGACAGUUCCUGACACUGAGGCACGAAGGCCAGGGGAGCAAACGGG